rnacentral:rRNA from 1 species
AUUGAACGUUGGCGGCAUGCCUUACACAUGCAAGUCGAACGGUAGCGGGCCUUCGGGUGCCGACGAGUGGCGAACGGGUGAGUAAUGCAUCGGAACGUGCCAUUGAGUGGGGGAUAACGUAGCGAAAGUUACGCUAAUACCGCAUAUUCUGUGAGCAGGAAAGCAGGGGACCGCAAGGCCUUGCGCUCUUUGAGCGGCCGAUGUCAGAUUAGCUAGUUGGUGAGGUAAAGGCUUACCAAGGCGACGAUCUGUAGCGGGUCUGAGAGGAUGAUCCGCCACACUGGAACUGAGACACGGUCCAGACUCCUACGGGAGGCAGCAGUGGGGAAUUUUGGACAAUGGGGGCAACCCUGAUCCAGCCAUGCCGCGUGAGUGAAGAAGGCCUCGGUUGUAAGUAC